rnacentral:tRNA from 1 species
GGCUUCAUAGUGUAGUGGUUAGCACGUCUGCUUUACACGCAGAAGGUCCUAGGUUUGCGCCUCAGGUGGAGCCA